rnacentral:rRNA from 1 species
CUUGGUCAUUUAGAGGAAGUAAAAGUCGUAACAAGGUCUCCGUAGGUGAACCUGCGGAGGGAUCAUUAACGAGUUCCCCGUACCGGGUAGAAUUCCCACCCUAUGUUAUCAUUACUCUGUUGCUUUGGCGGGCCGCCCGGCCUCGGUCAGGCUACCGGCUCCGGCUGGUAAGCGCCCGCCAGAGGACCCCGAACUCUGAAUAUUAGUGUCGUCUGAGUACUAUAUAAUAGUUAAAACUUUCAACAACGGAUCUCUUGGUUCUGGCAUCGAUGAAGAACGCAGCGAAAUGCGAUAAGUAAUGUGAAUUGCAGAAUUCAGUGAAUCAUCGAAUCUUUGAACGCACAUUGCGCCCCUUGGUAUUCCGGGGGGCAUGCCUGUUCGAGCGUCAUUACACCCCUCAAGCCUGGCUUGGUGUUGGGCCCCGCUGCUCACGUAGCGGGCCUUAAAAUCAGUGGCGGUGCCGUCGGGCCCUGAGCGCAGUAAAUAUCCUCGCUACAGGGACCCGGUGGACGCUGGCCAUCAACCUCACUUUUCAAGUUUGACCUCGGAUCAGGUAGGGAUACCCGCUGAACUUAAGCAUAUCAAUAAGCGGAGGA